AAGUCGUAACAAGGUUUCCGUAGGUGAACCUGCGGAAGGAUCAUUACCAAAAUCUUGAUUGAAACUCUUUACUCUCUGUCUCUCUCGUUUGCGCGAGGGUGCAGAGGCGAAGAGGGGCCAGUGUCGGCGCUUCGGCGCUGCACUGCGCCCAUCUCUCCGUCUCUGUGUCCCUCUCGCAACCGGGGGAGAGAGUGUGACCCGAAAACGAAGUUCACAUUCGUGUGCUCGUCGUUCCAGGGUGCGAACGAAUUCCUUCUGAACCAGUGCUUGCGUGACUGCGCGUCACGCACUUUUUACAACCCAACUUUAACUGUUUGACUGAACAAAACUUAUCGAUUGAUUUGAAAAAACCAAUCAUUGUACAACUCUUAGCAACGGAUAUCUUGGUUCUC
rnacentral:misc_RNA from 1 species